UUUUUUUCAUCUGCAUCGUGAAUGUGUUAUAAUCUAAUAAGAAUUAAUAAUUUUCAUAUUUUAGGUCAUAUGCCACAUUUUGUUUAUUUUAUGGUUUAAAUGGAAAUAUAAGCCAGUAUGAGUAAUAUAAAUUUGCAUUUUCUUCUUCUCCUUUGAAAUUAUUACUAGAAAAACGCAACGUAUCCUAUCCUGAUGGUAGAAGAUCUGUAGAUUGUCGCCAUCCGAACCACAAUAAUUUAGUUUAGAUUCACAGCUGUCGCUAUCAGUCCCCAACUCUCCGACCUUCUGUCUUUCUUUUUAAUGCCUUAAUAUAUCUGUGUUAAUGACUUGAUCACGUCCACAGCCAAUCCCCUCCUCAAAAUCUUCAAAGUCAAGUAAGUUGACACUAAAUAAAAUAUGGUAGUUGAGGAGAAAAGAAAGCUUCUACAUCUACAUUCCCAAACAUUUAUCUACAUACGUCUGAGGACAAAAUUAUAAUAUGAACGUCACAUAAAUUAAAGAAAUUUGUUAGCUUUUCUAACUUAGACAUUGAUUCAAUCUUUACAUAAUAAAGAAAACAGGAAUUUAGUCUUAAAAAUUUAGGAUCAGGAACAAUAUUCUUUUUUAUGAGAGAUAAGAGUGUUAAUUAAAGGUUUGAAUACAAUUUUUUUUAUAGUAAUUGUACCUGUCAUUGUUAAUAUUAUUUGUACGAAAAACUCGUGUAAUCAUAUCUUGUAUUAGUUUAUAUAACAAAUUAUGAGUAUAAAAUUUGAUACUUUCAUUUGUUAACACGAAAGAAUGUUCAAGCAAAAAAGAAAUGCAUAAGGGUAAACUUAAAAAUUCAAUUAAGUGUAGAGCCUCAAAUUUGCCCGGUCCAACAAAUUAAAAUCAAACCUAAAUCUUACCAAUUCACAAGCCCAAAUCAAACCAGACACUACCCCAGCCCAAAAUUUUACAAGCCCAUAAUUCUAAAAGAAUAGCAGAAAUAAAAAAAAAAAAACCUAGCAGCAGUGUGCGCCGCUCCCCACAUGCCUGGUCAGCGCCUCCAACGCCCAAGGCUCGGCGCCCCAUCCCAUCGCCCGUACCACCAAACCCUGUGACACCUACAAAACCAAAGCAACAAGCAAGAAAAGGCAGACAACAGCAAAGCAAAAAAUAUGGUAUUGGCCAUUUUUUUUCGGUUAAAAGAGAAAAGAGGGAACCGAUUGUAGGGGAAGCGGUUUUUUUAAUACAAAAAGAUUGUAUUACACGGAACAUAUUUUAGAGAAAUCAAAAGCAGAAAACAAGUUGAAAAGGUUUGCUUUUAUUUUAUUUUAUUUUUUUUGUUUUUCCCUUUUUUUUUCUUUUUUAUUUGUUUUACAAAUCUUUUUACAAAGAAAAGCAUAAUAAAAAAGGGAACUCACUCGAAGCCUCCCGCGGUCGCGACGUCGGUGAACCUUUCUCCAUCGUCGGAAUCGGGCCCAAAAGGGAGCCGAGAGACUCCUCUCUUCGGCGUCUCUGCGUUUUGGUCGUGUGGCCUUCAAGGGGUGUCCAAAACGGGGUUAAAAAUGCCCAUUUGCGCGACGCCGGUCACCGGUCACGGUGGUGGUGCGACGACGGCGAGGAUGGGUUUCUUUUGAAACCCUAGUAGAGAAUAAAUGGGAAAAGGAAUGGGUGUUUUCGGAUUUUUUUUAAGAGAAGGAAGCAAAAAUGAAAAAAAUAUUUCGUUUAAAUACAGGGGUGAAAUGGUGCCGUUUUGCACCAGGGUCACCAGCGCCUAAACGGUGCCGUUUGGGGCUCACCAGACGCGACCCGACCCGCUUCCUCAGGAUCCGCGCGUUUCCAACUUUCGGGUUAUUUACCCUUUUGGUCCUUCCGCAUUUUUGAAAUCUUAAAUUCUAUUUUUUAUUCUUUAAUUUUAUUGCUGUUUUACUUCAGUCCUCGUGGAGCUAUGCGUUUUGGGGGACGGGGAUAUUGCCCCAUUCGGUCCCCCAUCUCAUUCGCGUAUCACAAUUUGGGGCCCAAUAUUUUAUUUUCAUUACGUUUUGUUCCUUUUAAUUCAAUUUUAAUUUCAAUUCGGU
rnacentral:lncRNA from 1 species